AUUGAACGCUAGCGGCAUGCUUAACACAUGCAAGUCGAACGGUAACAGGCCUAGCUUGCUAGGCGCUGACGAGUGGCGGACGGGUGAGUAACGCGUAGGAAUCUACCUUGUAGAGGGGAAUAACCUGGGGAAACUCAGGCUAAUACCGCAUAAGCCCUAAGGGGGAAAGCAGGGGACUGUAACAGGCCUUGCACUAUGAGAGGAGCCUACGUCGGAUUAGCUAGUUGGUAGGGUAAAGGCCUACCAAGGCGAAGAUCCGUAGCUGGUCUGAGAGGACGACCAGCCACACUGGGACUGAGACACGGCCCAGACUCCUACGGGAGGCAGCAGUGGGGAAUAUUGGACAAUGGGCGCAAGCCUGAUCCAGCAAUGCCGCGUGUGUGAAGAAGGCCUGCGGGUUGUAAAGCACUUUCAGUGGGGAGGAACGUUUUUAGCACUAAUACUGCUAAGAGGUGACGCUACCCAAAGAAGAAGCACCGGCUAACUCUGUGCCAGCCGCCGCCGUAA
rnacentral:rRNA from 1 species